UACGUAGGGCGCAAGCGUUGUCCGGAAUUAUUGGGCGUAAAGAGCUCGUAGGCGGUCUGUCGCGUCUGCCGUGAAAACCCAUGGCUUAACUGUGGGCUUGCGGUGGAUACGGGCGGACUUGAGGUAGGUAGGGGAGAACGGAAUUCCCGGUGUAGCGGUGAAAUGCGCAGAUAUCGGGAGGAACACCGGUGGCGAAGGCGGUUCUCUGGGCCUUACCUGACGCUGAGGAGCGAAAGCGUGGGGAGCGAACAGG
rnacentral:rRNA from 1 species